UACGUAGGGGGCAAGCGUUGUCCGGAUUUAUUGGGCGUAAAGAGCGUGUAGGCGGCUUUGCAAGUCCGUUGUGAAAACUCGAGGCUCAACCUCGAGACGCCGGUGGAAACUGCAAAGCUAGAGUCCGGAAGAGGAGAGUGGAAUUCCUGGUGUAGCGGUGAAAUGCGCAGAUAUCAGGAGGAACACCGAUGGCGAAGGCAGCUCGCUGGGACGGUACUGACGCUGAGGCGCGAAAGCGUGGGGAGCGAACAGG
rnacentral:rRNA from 1 species